CAUGCAUAAACAAGUUCCCAUAACCAGUCGUCCAAGAGGGUGAAGUAUCUCAUACUUCAGCAAGUCUUGACCUGAGGAACGAGGAGCCUCCCAGCGUGGUGUCGUGCACAGAUGGCAGAUACAUAUUCUGACAAUGCAGAAUGAGUCCCAGGCUUGCAUGGAAAGUCCAAACCAUGCCAGACUGAUUGAUGCAGCAUCGAUGUGUUGCUCGCCCAUGCUUUCGGCGUGUUUGUAAAUUGACCUGUGAUUAGUAAUGGAGCAGCUUCUUGUUUAUUAGUUGAAGAGUGAUGCUUAUUUGCUCUCUCUGUUUCUCCUAUCUAUCAAUCUGUCACCCCAGUGCAGAGGAAUGUAAACAGGUUUGUUGGGCGAUAAGAGAGUUCACCAGGCUGUACCGAUAGCUGUCUUUUACCUGCUGAUGCUGCAAGACCAGGUCAGAUUUUUUUGUUUUGCUAACAUUUGGAGGAAGUGGCAAAGGGAGCCAUGAUGACCACUGUUGAGAAACUAAAGGGAACUCUUGCAUGAAGGAUCUGUGGGACUUGGCAAAAUGGGAAAGCCGACCAAUUGAAUUGGAGCUUUGGAAUGGCAGGGUUUCAGGAAAAGCAAAUUGCCUUGUGGGUGUCAAAUGACCGCAGCCCCAUCCCUCCCUUUUACCCCGACGAGCACACAGAUGCCAGCCACAGCGAGAGAAGGGGGGGAUAUUUCGGAAGGGACACCGUCGUCUUGUGGGAGGGGGGCCGUCGAAUGGACACUGAAAUACAUACACCCAUUUCAAAACAUGGAUGAACGUCUGCAUCGGUCGGAUUUCUGGGGGUCCAUCAAAAACCAACGACAAAUGAGGAUGUGCCUGGUUGCAAAUCAUAAUGCAUCGUUAAAAAAGAGAGACUUGUACGUUUUUAAAAACAAAAAUGGAGAUUUAUUUUCAUGGACGUGUGUUUAGAGAUCAAGUUAUGGCUUUGCUGCCAGUGCCAUAAAAUGAUUACCAAACUAAAAAUUGUCACAGCAGCAGCAGUCUGCGCCUGUGGGACAUUUGCAAAGGGAGAGUUGGCAUCACCCUUGAUCUUUUUAAAAGUUGGCUGGGAUUUUAUCCGUACAGGUUAUGCUGUAAAUUAUGGAGUGGACUGACUGGCAGGGGCUUUU